GCGCAGCAGGCGAGAAUUUUUCUCAAUGGGCGAAAGCCUGAAGGAGCGACGCCGCGUGGAGGAUGAAGGCUUUCGGGUCGUAAACUCCUGUCAUUUGAGAACAAGUGUAGCCAAAUAACUACUGGCUACUUGAUAGUAUCAGAAGAGGAAGGGACGGCUAACUCUGUGCCAGCAGCCGCGGUAAUACAGAGGUCCCAAGCGUUGUUCGGAUUCAUUGGGCGUAAAGGGUGCGUAGGUGGCGCCGUAAGUGGGGUGUGAAAUUUCGGAGCUUAACUCCGAAACUGCAUUCCAUACUGCGGUGCUUGAGGACUGGAGAGGAGACUGGAAUUCAUGGUGUAGCAGUGAAAUGCGUAGAGAUCAUGAGGAAGACCAGUGGCGAAGGCGGGUCUCUGGACAGUUCCUGACACUGAGGCACGAAGGCUAGGGGAGCGAACGGGAUUAGAUACCCCUGUAGU
rnacentral:rRNA from 1 species